rnacentral:lncRNA from 1 species
CUCACCAACAAUUCGAGGUUGUAACAUAGUUGAUGUUGAAUCAUCUCAUAAAUAUGAGUCAGAAAUAUAUGGAAUGAAAAGAUAUGGAGAUAUCUAUUUGAUGUUAAAAUAGAUCUUUUAUUCUUACAUAGAUCCUCCCCUUUAGAAAAGAAAGUUCUUUUUUAGAAAGAUUAUCCUUAUCUCUGUUUAUGUCUCGGAUU